rnacentral:rRNA from 1 species
GGAGGCAGCAGUGGGGAAUAUUGGACAAUGGACCAAAAGUCUGAUCCAGCAAUUCUGUGUGCACGAUGAAGGUCUUCGGAUUGUAAAGUGCUUUCAGGUGGGAAGAAGAAAGUGACGGUACCACCAGAAGAAGCGACGGCUAAAUACGUGCCAGCAGCCGCGGUAAUACGUAUGUCGCAAGCGUUAUCCGGAAUUAUUGGGCGUAAAGCGAGUCUAGGCGGCUUGUUAAGUCAGAUGUGAAAAUGCGGGGCUCAACUCCGUAUUGCGUUUGAAACUGGCAGGCUAGAGUACGGGAGAGGUGGGCGGAACUACAAGUGUAGAGGUGAAAUUCGUAGAUAUUUGUAGGAAUGCCGAUAGUGAAGACAGCUCACUGGACAGAUACUGACGCUAAAGCUCGAAAGCGUGGGGAGCGAACAGGAUUAGAUACCCUGGUAGUCCACGCCGUAAACGAUGUUCACUGGGUGUAGGGGGUCG